rnacentral:tRNA from 1 species
GUGCCCAUAGCUCAGCUGGAUAGAGUACUUGACUACGAAUCAAGGGGUCGAAGGUUCGAAUCCUUCUGGGCACGCCA